UGGCUCAGUUGGUAGAGCAUGGUGUUUGCAAUGCCAGCAUGGUGUGUGCAACACCAGGGUUGUGGGUACGAUUCCCAC
rnacentral:tRNA from 1 species